rnacentral:rRNA from 1 species
UUAUGCUAAUAAGAGCGUAUGGUGGAUGCCUUGGCACUAAGAGCCGAUGAAAGACGUGAUAAGCUGCGAAAAGCUUCGGGGAGGAGCAAAUAUCCUAUGAUCCGGAGAUCUCUGAAUGGGGAAACCCACCUGAGCAAACCUCAGGUAUCCUAACGCCAAUACAUAACGUUAGGAGGGGAACCCGGUGAACUGAAACAUCUAAGUAGCCGGAGGAAGAGAAAACAACAUGUGAUUCUGGAAGUAGCGGCGAGCGAAACCGGAAGAGCCCAAACCGGAGUGCGUGCACUCCGGGGUUCGGACCGCGGAAUUGAUCCAAAAGACUUAACAGAACGGCCUGGGAAGGCCGGCCAGAGAGGGUGAAAGCCCCGUAAGUGAAAGGUCGAUUGGCAUGGCGGUAUCCAGAGUAGGUCGAGACACGUGGAACCUUGACUGAAUACGCGGGGACCACCCCGUAAGGCUAAAUACUCCUUAGUGACCGAUAGCGCAUAGUACUGUGAAGGAAAGGUGAAAAGGACCCCGGGAGGGGAGUGAAAAAGAACCUGAAACCAUAUGUUUACAAGCUGUGGAACCACUUUAAAUGUGGAACCGCGUACUUUUUGUAGAACGGUCCGGCGAGUUACGCUGGCUGGCGAGGUUAAGUCCUUAAGGGAUGGAGCCGAAGGGAAACCAAGUCUGAAUAGGGCGAAGAGUCAGUCGGAGUAGACCCGAAACCGGGUGACCUAUCCAUGUCCAGGAUGAAGUUGCCGUAAAAGGCAAUGGAGGUCCGAACCCACAUCCGUUGAAAAGGGUGGGGAUGAGGUGUGGAUAGGGGAGAAAUUCCAAUCGAACCCGGAGAUAGCUGGUUCUCCUCGAAAUAGCUUUAGGGCUAGCCUCAUACAAGUCUUGCGGAGGUAGAGCACUGAAUUUCCUAGGGGGCGUCAAAGCUUACCGAAGAAUAUCAAACUCCGAAUGCCGCGUAGAUGGUGUAUGGGAGUCAGACUGCACGAGAUAAGUUGGGUAGUCAAAAGGGAAAGAGCCCAGACCUGCAGCUAAGGUCCCAAAAUGUGUGUUAAGUGGAAAAGGAUGUGGGAUUUCGAAGACAACUAGGAUGUUGGCUCAGAAGCAGCCAUACAUUCAAAGAGUGCGUAAUAGCUCACUAGUCGAGAGGUCCUGCGCCGAAAAUGUCCGGGGCUGAAACACACUACCGAAGCUCAGGAAUGUACUUGUACAUUGGUAGAGGAGCAUUGUAUACGGGAAGAAGCAGUACCGAUAAGGAGCUGUGGACUGUAUAGAAGAGAGAAUGCCGGAAUGAGUAGCGAGAGGAAGGUGAGAAUCCUUCCGGCCGAAUAUCUAAGGUUUCCAGAGUAAAGCUGAUCUGCUCUGGGUAAGUCGGGGCCUAAGGCCAGGUCGAAAGACGUAACCGAUGGACAACAGGUUGAAAUUCCUGUACCGCGAUAUAACAGAACUGUGGGGACACGUGUGGAGAGCACAAGCCGGGAAUGGAAAGCCCGGCGCAAGCGAGGUAGGAGUCGUACUGGCAAAUCCGUACGGCAAUCCGAAGACGUGAUGCGUACCGAACUAAGAGUAGGGAAGAGUGUGAGCCAUGCGUCAAGAAAAGCCGCUAUUGUUUGUAUCGCGCCCGUACCGUAAACCGACACAGGUGGAUGAGGAGAGAAUCCUAAGGCCGACGGGAGAAGCAUUGUUAAGGAACUCGGCAAAAUGACUCCGUAACUUCGGGAGAAGGAGUGCCACUGAGAGGUGGCCGCAGAGAAUUGGCCCAAGCAACUGUUUAGCAAAAACACAGGUCUAUGCAAAACCGAAAGGUGAAGUAUAUGGGCUGACGCCUGCCCGGUGCUGGAAGGUUAAGGGGAGAGGUUAGCGCAAGCGAAGCUUUGAACUUAAGCCCCAGUAAACGGCGGCCGUAACUAUAACGGUCCUAAGGUAGCGAAAUUCCUUGUCGGGUAAGUUCCGACCCGCACGAAAGGCGUAAUGAUUUGGGCACUGUCUCAACAAUGCACCCGGUGAAAUUGAAAUACCAGUGAAGAUGCUGGUUACCUGCGCCAGGACGGAAAGACCCCAUGG